AGUAAGAUUGUUCUUCUUCAGGAGAUUUUACCCUCAAAGUUACCAGCACGUCGACGAAGAAAACAUAGAGACAAAUAAAAGAUAGAUUUAAAGAACAAUAUAAGAAAAUCAAAGGGUCCAAUAUGUCUGUUCCACCACAGAGGUUGCCAUGAGACUAACUACAUCCGAAAUGAGCCAAGAGUGAAGGUACAGGAACACAACAAUUAAUAAUGAAGACAUGCCUGUUCUAUCGCUAAUGGAAUUUCCCUAAAGUACCUGUUUCGAGGAGUCAAGGUCUGGAAGUCUGCUUUCGUGAUGACAUUUGCUGUACUUGCCGUAAUGCUUUUGGUUACUGUGCCUGAAACUCACUCUGGCCGUCACUAUCAUGGAAGCUACUCUGACAGUGAUGAGAGGUUCUAUCUUGCCCAGAUCCCAACAUUUCACUGGUAUCAACCGAGGCCAGUGCCACCCCGACUUCAGUUCCCUCUCUGGCCCUUCUUCCCUGGGUUACUGCCCCAGCCGGCCCCUGCUCCUAUCCCAGCACCAAGGCCUGGACCAAGUCCGGGCCAGACCACCACUGCCCCUGCCACAACUAGUAAAAGGGGAGAUAACGGAUAAACAGGACCCAUCUCAGAACCGGACCAAUACCAACCUAAUGGAUCUUCUUUUAGACUAUAUCUUUUUAUUCUAAAAUCACAAUGGUACAUUCAAUAACAACGUAUUAUACUUUAUUCAUAAAAGAUUCUGGGUGAAAUGGUGUAUCAUUUUGUUUCGUGUUUUGUUUAAUGUUCAUUGUUGUUUAUUGAAUUUCAUUCAGCUGUAUUAAUCAUACUUUAUUAUUUGUGCAUUUCUAUAUAUUUGCUAUUUUGUUCACUGGAAUAUGAUUUUCUGGUGCAUCUUAUUGUCUUUGUGUGGAUUCAUGUUGAAGAUCUGCUUUUCUUAAUAUGUGUACAUCUCAAUGUAUAUAAUGGUAUCUUGUUAUACACUGUAUCAUUUUUAUAUUUUCCUACAAUCAUUUCAAUUUGA